rfam:[Oscillatoria] sp. PCC 6506, WGS project CACA01000000 data, contig: Contig346
GCGGAUGUGGCGGAAUUGGUAUACGCGCACGUUUGAGGGGCGUGUGGCUUGUCCUUGCGAGUUCGAGUCUCGCCAUCCGCA